UACGGAGGGUGCAAGCGUUAUCCGGAUUCACUGGGUUUAAAGGGUGCGUAGGCGGUUUGGUAAGUCUUGUGUGAAAUCUCCAGGCUCAACUUGGAGUCUGCACGAGAAACUGCCGGGCUUGAGUGUGGGAGAGGUGAGUGGAAUUCCUGGUGUAGCGGUGAAAUGCGUAGAUAUCAGGAGGAACACCUGUGGCGAAAGCGGCUCACUGGACCACAACUGACGCUGAUGCACGAAAGCUAGGGGAGCAAACAGG
rnacentral:rRNA from 1 species